AGAGUUUGAUCAUGGCUCAGGACGAACGCUGGCGGCGUGCUUAACACAUGCAAGUCGAACGGAAAGGCCCUUCGGGGUACUCGAGUGGCGAACGGGUGAGUAACACGUGGGUGAUCUGCCCUGCACUUUGGGAUAAGCCUGGGAAACUGGGUCUAAUACCGGAUAGGACCACGCGCUUCAUGGUGUGUGGUGGAAAGCUUUUGCGGUGUGGGAUGGGCCCGCGGCCUAUCAGCUUGUUGGUGGGGUAAUGGCCUACCAAGGCGACGACGGGUAGCCGGCCUGAGAGGGUGACCGGCCACACUGGGACUGAGAUACGGCCCAGACUCCUACGGGAGGCAGCAGUGGGGAAUAUUGCACAAUGGGCGCAAGCCUGAUGCAGCGACGCCGCGUGAGGGAUGACGGCCUUCGGGUUGUAAACCUCUUUCAAUAGGGACGAAGCGCAAGUGACGGUAC
rnacentral:rRNA from 1 species